rnacentral:tRNA from 1 species
GGUUUGUGGCUCAGUGGUAUAGCACUUGCCUAAUAUUAAUAUGUAUGAGGCACUGGGUUCAAUCCUCAGCACCA